rnacentral:tRNA from 1 species
GGACAGAUGGCCGAGCUGGUUAUGGCGCCAGGUUAAGGUUGUACGCUUAAAUCCUGGUCACGCAAGUGGCGUGGGUUCGAGUCCCACUCUGUUCA